UGCAAGUAGAACGCUGAAGAGAGGAGCUUGCUCUUCUUGGAUGAGUUGCGAACGGGUGAGUAACGCGUAGGUAACCUGCCUUGUAGCGGGGGAUAACUAUUGGAAACGAUAGCUAAUACCGCAUAACAAUGGAUGACACAUGUCAUUUAUUUGAAAGGGGCAAUUGCUCCACUACAAGAUGGACCUGCGUUGUAUUAGCUAGUAGGUGAGGUAACGGCUCACCUAGGCGACGAUACAUAGCCGACCUGAGAGGGUGAUCGGCCACACUGGGACUGAGACACGGCCCAGACUCCUACGGGAGGCAGCAGUAGGGAAUCUUCGGCAAUGGGGGCAACCCUGACCGAGCAACGCCGCGUGAGUGAAGAAGGUUUUCGGAUCGUAAAGCUCUGUUGUAAGUCAAGAACGAGUGUGAGAGUGGAAAGUUCACACUGUGACGGUAGCUUACCAGAAAGGGACGGCUAACUACGUGCCAGCAGCCGCGGUAAUACGUAGGUCCCGAGCGUUGUCCGGAUUUAUUGGGCGUAAAGCGAGCGCAGGCGGUUUGAUAAGUCUGAAGUUAAAGGCUGUGGCUCAACCAUAGUUCGCUUUGGAAACUGUCAAACUUGAGUGCAGAAGGGGAGAGUGGAAUUCCAUGUGUAGCGGUGAAAUGCGUAGAUAUAUGGAGGAACACCGGUGGCGAAAGCGGCUCUCUGGUCUGUAACUGACGCUGAGGCUCGAAAGCGUGGGGAGCGAACAGGAUUAGAUACCCUGGUAGUCCACGCCGUAAACGAUGAGUGCUAGGUGUUGGAUCCUUUCCGGGAUUCAGUGCCGCAGCUAACGCAUUAAGCACUCCGCCUGGGGAGUACGACCGCAAGGUUGAAACUCAAAGGAAUUGACGGGGGCCCGCACAAGCGGUGGAGCAUGUGGUUUAAUUCGAAGCAACGCGAAGAACCUUACCAGGUCUUGACAUCCCGAUGCUAUUUCUAGAGAUAGAAAGUUACUUCGGUACAUCGGUGACAGGUGGUGCAUGGUUGUCGUCAGCUCGUGUCGUGAGAUGUUGGGUUAAGUCCCGCAACGAGCGCAACCCCUAUUGUUAGUUGCCAUCAUUCAGUUGGGCACUCUAGCGAGACUGCCGGUAAUAAACCGGAGGAAGGUGGGGAUGACGUCAAAUCAUCAUGCCCCUUAUGACCUGGGCUACACACGUGCUACAAUGGUUGGUACAACGAGUUGCGAGUCGGUGACGGCAAGCUAAUCUCUUAAAGCCAAUCUCAGUUCGGAUUGUAGGCUGCAACUCGCCUACA
rnacentral:rRNA from 1 species